rfam:Streptomyces violaceusniger Tu 4113, complete genome.
CUUCACCGAUCCCAGCCACAGCGGGCGGUCGCGGUCCCGGCCGUACGUGGCGAGCAGGGCCUGUGCCUC